UUAUGGCUCAGGACGAACGCUGGCGGCGUGCUUAACACAUGCAAGUCGAACGGGGAUCAUCGGGCGGAAGGCUUCGGCCGGAAGGCUGGUGAUUCCAGUGGCGGACGGGUGAGUAACGCGUGAACAAUCUGUCCCAGACAGGGGGAUAACACUUGGAAACAGGUGCUAAUACCGCAUGAGACCACGGUGUCGCAUGGCACAGGGGUAAAAGGAGCGAUCCGGUUUGGGGUGAGUUCGCGUCCGAUUAGCCAGUUGGCGGGGUAACGGCCCACCAAAGCGACGAUCGGUAGCCGACCUGAGAGGGUGAUCGGCCACAUUGGAACUGAGAGACGGUCCAAACUCCUACGGGAGGCAGCAGUGGGGAAUAUUGGGCAAUGGGCGAAAGCCCUGACCCAGCAACGCCGCGUGAGUGAAGAAGGCCUUCGGGUUGUAAAGCUCUGUUAUGUGGGACGAAGGAAGUGACGGUACCACAUAAGGAAGCCCCGGCUAACUACGUGCCAGCCGCGGC
rnacentral:rRNA from 1 species